CCUCCUUGAAGCUGUUUUAAAAGAUCCGACAAGAGACUUUGGAAAACAUUUUACACGUUAUUUUUUCCAUAUACUUUAGAUAAUAAUCUUGUAAACGUGUGUUGACAUAUGUUUCAAAAGGGAAGUUGACACAGUGACGAGAUAAGUAAACCGACCUAAAAAAUGGACUUGUUUUGAUAAGUUUUUUCCACUAAGAUGAAACUAAUCGAUUCUGAUCAAACUAAUAUAUGCUGUUUUCGCAUGCGAUGAUUUUGCAGUUUUAACGAGUUAUUUAUUAUGUCGUAGCGCUGUUUUUAAACGAUGUAUUAUUUUAAGUAGAGCACUCAGCUUUGUUUUAGCCUAAUAUAGGAAAAACCUAGAAGAAACGUAGGGAGUAUGCUUAAACCGGAAUAAGCAUACCAGUGAAUGUAGCCUAUCGUUUGCGUAAAAGCAAUAUACCUGGAUUUUUAUAUUUUUUUCAGGCAGGUUAAAACAUGACAAGGCUGUGAACAUAACCCGAGGCUUAAACCCAGCCUUGUUAUUGUGGUUCAUGUGCCUGUUUCAGGGCUGCAGCUCUGCACAUUGACAGUAUUGCAUAAUUUGCAUUUAACAGGGGUGGGCUUGCUGAUUUUCAGGAAAUUGUCUACGGAAAGGGCUCAAAGGUUUGCAUCCAAGUGAAAAAGCCAUUAUUUUAAACAUAAAAGUAGUUACACGGAAUAAAUGCGUAAACAAACUAAAAUAAAAUACAAAUAAAUACGUAUAAUGAGUAUGAGCUCAUGAACUUCCUGCUUAAAGAAAGAGUAGCACGUGAAAUACACGUAUUUCAGUUGUCCGCAAGUAGAGGGCAGCCUUUCUGCUGCGAGACAGAGGUAUAAUCCAUCCAUCCAUUUUCCAAGCCGCUUAUCCUUCUGGGUCGCGGGGGGUCCUGGCUGGGAACAACCCAGGAUGGGGGGCCAGCCCAUCGCAGGGCACAUUCACACACCAUUCACUCACACAUGCAUUCCUACGGGCAAUUUAGCAAGCCCAAUUAGCCUCAGCAUAUUUUUGGACUGUGGGGGGAAACCGGAGUACCCGGAGGAAACCCCACGACGACAUGGGAAGAACAUGCACAGAGGUAUAAUUGACUGACAUAAAAUAAAAUACACCGUCUUAUUAGCCUUCUUACAAGCAUCCUGUUAAAAGUGUUUUCAUCUUACAGAAUAUUCCUAAAAAAUUUAGCAGUUUUUUUAUUUGCAUUUACUUUUAUUUAGCAGACGAUUUUGUCCAAAGUUCCUCGCGGUGACAAGAGCUAGUUCUACUGGUUUUGCAAUCAGGAAUACACCGUAGCUGUCAGUAUUCCGGCGAUCGUGAUCGGGGGAGGGGGAGUGGCUGGUUCCGUCCUUACAACCAAAAUGCACACAAAUUAUUCUUUGUAUCAACAGCUCAGCUGAAGGAGUGUUUAAUGUCAAUAAUUUUUAAGAACGGUAAUAAUGGCAUACCUGAAAAAUACAGUAGUGCAGUUCAUGUGAUUAGGUGUGGUCAAGUCAGUGUCAGCCCCUAGAUGGCAUUUCUCCGCACGUAUUUCCUUAUACACAUCAUCAUUCGAACCCCCUCCCCCAAGAAUGGUUUAUUCCUGACAAGUCCCAGCUUGGGUGGCUUGCCUCCCGGCGGCGCUAGCUCGCGAACACACUGUCAAGCCCCACCACAUACAUAUUACUCCAAGGAAGUGCCAGAUUAUUUAGCUUAAUUCCACACAUGUCACCACGUAUGUCUGUAAUAUAUCAUAUAUAGUGUCUCUCUCAUUUUACCCUCAGCUACCCCAAGGAUACAGACGUCCUGCAGACCAUGGAGGUGGUGUGGCCAUAGCCUGAUCUAUUGAGCACCACUGUACUAAUAGGCCUUUCAAAAGGCCACUGUUUGUGUUCCGAUUGCUGUUUUCACAGCAUUCACAGUUACAGUCUCCAGUGUCAGAGAGGCACUUUUUAUGUUCCUGUUUUUUCGGUACUGCUUUGCUGCAUGUGGCUGUAUCUGUGCGGAAGCUGGGCCAAUACCUGAGUUCACAAAGGCUAAUGUUUGCCCCUCAUAGGACUUAUUGAUUACAUCAGGACUUACUGAUGAGAAGAAAGGGAGCAGGAUAGCAGGAGAAAUAAGAAGGUGAAUUAUUCUUAUUGCAUUCACUGUGUCGCCUAGUCUAUACCUGAGAUGACAACUGUACAUUGUCACAGCACAUGCGAACCAGCAGGUGGCACCAGCAAGGCAGAGGUGCAGGGGAAUAUUCCGGGAAUCCCUUUACAUGCAGGAUAAGAGCAAUUUGAAACAUGGCAGCACUUUGUACUGGUCUCCACUCUGUUCUCAUAAUAGUUUGUAUACCAUUAGUCAACAAUUUCUUUGUUGCACAAAUCAAAACAGGUGAAUCUUACAGUAUUGUUUGUGCUGAAUUCUAUCAAAUCAAAAUUUACCUAUCAUGCAAUGAUUUUGAGUGACGAACAAACCUUACGCUAUACGCAUAUUUACAGUAUGCGUGCAUGUUGGAAGUGACAUCACCUAUAUGGGCAAUUUGGUAACUCCAAUUAACCACAGCAUGUUUUUGGACUGGGGGGGGGAAGCAUGGAAUCCAGGCGGAGAGUUGAACCAGAACGGAGCACAAUUCAUCUUGCCCAGUAGCACAUAACCCUGUACGUUGUGAAGAUUUCUCACCUGGGUUCCCAGUGGGCCAUGGACAAUGGGGAGCACAUCAAGAAACUUCAAAGCAAUCUUUGUGAAGUCAAAAACAUCCAUUUAGCAAGAUCUUUUGUAAUAUGACAAGCAAACAAGGCCUGACAAAUCUGGACAGCCCGAUCUCUAUCGGCAGCCCACAGGGAGGAACUCCAUGUAACUUCCUGCAAUUUGAGUUAACCGCCCCCAUUUUCUGAAACCACUAGUCCUAUUCCGGGUUGUGGAGGGUCCAGAGCCCAUCCCACAGGCUAGGGGUACUAGGCAAGGAACAACCCAGGAUAGAGCGUCAACUCAUCACGGGGCAUAUUCACACACCAGUCACUCACACAUGCACCUCCUGGUAAUUUGGCAACUCCAAUUAGCUUCAGUGGUUACGGCGCAGCACAGCAUGGGCAGGAAAAAGACAACAAUCCACUUGCAGUUCUGAGACAAAGGGGUUUACUGGGGAAAUUGGACACAGGGUAAAACUAUAAAAAAAAAAAAAGGACCAUGAAGGAGCAGAAAACAAGCAGGGAACAGUACUGCAUUAACUAAAACUAUAAAACAAGGCACAACUAAGAAAUCAAGCAGCCCAAAAAAAAAAAUCCCCACAGGGACUAGAAUUCAGCAAAACAGAGGCCCAAACACACACUAACAUUGACAACAGCAGGCUGAAGAGCAGGACAAAGACAGGCACUUAAAUACACUCAAGGCAUCAGGGCAAACAAAUGACAGGUGUAACUUGUAAUCAACUUAACCAAGGGGAACAUGAUCAAUUAGAAACAGGUGGGGUGGAUUACAAUGAACUAAUCAUGGAACAAGUGAACUCCGAACACUUAACACUGUGAAACACUGAAAACUAACACUUGGAAUAACCAAAGAACUCACAAACAUGAAAUAAGACACAGGCAAACCUAAACAGGAGCACAAGGACAAACCAUGAAAGACAAGAAAAAAACACAAAAGUUAAGGGUAAAAUAAAAUCCAAAAAUAAACAAACAGUGAGGCAGGACAUGGGCCAGCCUCAACUCAUGACCAGAGGAGUAACAACCUUGGUUGUGCACACUCAACCUGUUGAGCUAUGUGGCAGCACAAGGAACAAGUGAAACACACUGGGGACUAGUACAAUGACAGAGGGAACAGGAUGGCCAGCAACACCUGCUGGCCAAACGGGGAGGAGACAUAAAGGGCAGGGUCAGACAGAACACACCCUGAUAUCAGUAUGCUUUUGGACUGUGGGGGGAAACCAGGAACCCUGGUUAUAUAAGUGUGAGGUGACAGUGAUAACCACUGUACCACUGUGCCCCCUCAGAAAAGUUUUAUAAAGUUUAUUAUUCCAGAUAUUAAAUGGGGCUCAAACUGUGACGCAGUAUUGGGGUCAAGACCACCUAACCUGAGACCAAGUCAAGACCAAGAAGGGAGGGGAGACCAAGCCCCAAAUCAAGACCAAAUCAAUGCGACCAUUUUCAAGACCAUUGCUGUAAUCAUAAUAAUUAUGUGGGUUGAUAUUUACAGUAGUUCUCUGUUAAAAAGAAAAGCCAUAUUUAGAAAUGUUAGUAUUAUACAAAUAGAUGUACAUUAUAGUACUUUUACAACAUAGUUCCAUGUUGCUGACCUUGAAGGCUCAAUACUGGGCACAGAAUGAAAAGAAACAUAAAAACACAUUACUGCUGCUAAGCUACGACUCCACAGUCACUGAUUGGCAAAUUAUACAAGAAUUAUUAACUUGUUUGAUUAGUAUAUGAUCUGUAAUAAAAUGAAGCAUUAGUCUUUUAGUCAUAUUGAUCAAAUUUAUUUCAAAUUUAAAGGACAUUAAUCACUUAAUGAUCAAAAUGAUUUGACACUUGGUGGGUGUGUUGUUGACUUACAACGUGACAAAAUGUUCAAUAACAAAGAACUUUGAAUAAACAAACAAACAGUGGUCUGUGCAGUAGCAAGGCAAACAGUGAAAACCACCAAAUUUAAAUCAGUGUUUGGCUGCAUUUUAGAAAGAUGAGAGAUUGCAACAUUUUGUGAUCCAAACGUGCUCUGUGAGGUCUCAUUAUGAUGCCUCCUCGACUGAGAACCUGCUCUACUGGUGCUGAAGUGGCAAGUACUGACAGCACCUUCAGCACCAACAUGUGGAGAUGUGGGCAUUUAUCAUGGUGUUUUGCACAGAAGUGAAAAGCACUGUCAACAUCAGAGUCCUGGAUGUCCUCAAAGUAUUUGCAGAUCUGUGUUGCAGUACUUAAAUCUUGGCCUGAGCUGCGCUUCUUGUAGGCCUUGUAGCGGACCAGAAGGUGUGGAUAUUUGACAGGUGGUGAGUUACUGGACGUAUCCACAUUAGUGACCCCUGAGGCUGUUGUGUCUCCUACACCAUCCAUGAUGUUCUCCACCUUCAAGAUCAAAGUAUCUGAAAAACACAAAACAAACAACAGACACAGAGCUAUGCAAAUUUAAAGAGAGUUACUUAGUUUUCAAAAUUGAGAAGAAUUAUUGAAUAAAGAUUGAUACUAA